rnacentral:rRNA from 1 species
AGCAGUGGGGAAUAUUGCACAAUGGGCGCAAGCCUGAUGCAGCCAUGCCGCGUGUAUGAAGAAGGCCUUCGGGUUGUAAAGUACUUUCAGUCGUGAGGAAGGUGGUGUAGUUAAUAGCUGCAUUACUUGACGUUAGCGACAGAAGAAGCACCGGCUAACUCCGUGCCAGCAGCCGCGGUAAUACGGAGGGUGCGAGCGUUAAUCGGAAUUACUGGGCGUAAAGCGCAUG